rnacentral:rRNA from 1 species
UACAGAGGGGGCAAGCGUUGUUCGGAAUUACUGGGCGUAAAGGGCGCGUAGGCGGCCUGCUAAGUCGAACGUGAAAUCCCUGGGCUCAACCCAGGAACUGCGCCCGAUACUGGUUGGCUUGAAUCCGGGAGAGGGAUGUGGAAUUCCAGGUGUAGCGGUGAAAUGCGUAGAUAUCUGGAGGAACACCGGUGGCGAAGGCGGCCAACUGGACCACAACUGACGCUGAGGCGCGAAAGCGUGGGGAGCAAACAGG